rnacentral:rRNA from 1 species
AGUUAAGUGAGAAAGCGUACAGGGCGGAUGCCUUGGCAAUCAGAGGCGAAGAAGGACGUGCUAAUCUGCGAAAAGCGUGGGUGAGUUGAUAAGAAGCGUUUAACCCACGAUGUCCGAAUGGGGAAACCCGAUAGGCGAAGAGCCUAUCAUUGCGAGGUGAAUAAAAUAGCCUCGUAAGGCGAACCGGGAGAACUGAAACAUCUAAGUACCCCGAGGAAAAGAAAUCAACCGAGAUUCUGUGAGUAGCGGCGAGCGAAAGCGGAGGAGCCAGUAAGUAAUAGCAGCAGAGAUAGAGGAAUUGUCUGGGAAGGCAAGCGACACAGGGUGAUAGCCCCGUACUUAAAAUCCAGGCUGUGGUACUAAGCUUACGAGAAGUAGGGCGGGACACGAGGAAUCUUGUCUGAAGAUGGGGGGACCAUCCUCCAAGGCUAAAUACUCCUGAUUGACCGAUAGUGAACCAGUACUGUGAAGGAAAGGCGAAAAGAACCCCGGUGAGGGGAGUGAAAUAGAACCUGAAACCCUGUACGUACAAGCAGUGGGAGCCCGCAAGGGUGACUGCGUACCUUUUGUAUAAUGGGUCAGCGACUUAUAUUUUGUAGCAAGGUUAACUGAAUAAGGGAGCCGAAGGGAAACCGAGUCUUAACUGGGCGGUUAGUUGCAAGGUAUAGACCCGAAACCCGGUGAUCUAGCCAUGGGCAGGUUGAAGGUUGGGUAACACUAACUGGAGGACCGAACCGACUAAUGUUGAAAAAUUAGCGGAUGACCUGUGGCUGGGGGUGAAAGGCCAAUCAAACCGGGAGAUAGCUGGUUCUCCCCGAAAUCUAUUUAGGUAGAGCCUUGUGUGAAUACCUUUGGGGGUAGAGCACUGUUUCGGCUAGGGGCCCAUCCCGGGUUACCAAACCGAUGCAAACUCCGAAUACCAAAGAGUAAUGCACAGGAGACACACGGCGGGUGCUAACGUCCGUCGUGGAGAGGGAAACAACCCAGACCGCCAGCUAAGGUCCCAAAAUCUAUAUUAAGUGGGAAACGAAGUGGGAAGGCUUAGACAGCUAGGAUGUUGGCUUAGAAGCAGCCACCAUUUAAAGAAAGCGUAAUAGCUCACUAGUCGAGUCACCUGCGCGGAAGAUGUAACGGGGCUAAAAUAUAGUACCGAAGCUGCGGCAUCAAUCGAAAGAUUGUUGGGUAGGGGAGCGUUGUGUAAGCGGAAGAAGGUGAUUUGAGAAGAUUGCUGGACGUAUCACAAGUGCGAAUGCUGACAUAAGUAACGAUAAAACGGGUGAAAAACCCGUUCGCCGGAAGACCAAGGGUUCCUGUCCAACGUUAAUCGGGGCAGGGUGAGUCGGCCCCUAAGGCGAGGCUGAAAAGCGUAGUCGAUGGGAAACGGGUUAAUAUUCCCGUACUUGGUAAAGCUGCGAUGUGGGGACGGAGAAGGUUAGGUUAUCGACCUGUUGGAGAUGGUCGUUUAAGUUGGUAGGUGGGUGAGUUAGGCAAAUCCGGCUCACCGUUAACACUGAGAGAUGAUGACGAGGCACUAAGGUGCUGAAGUAACUGAUACCACACUUCCAGGAAAAGCCACUAAGCUUCAGGCUUUACUAAACCGUACUGAAAACCGACACAGGUGGUCAGGUAGAGAAUACUCAGGCGCUUGAGAGAACUCGGGUGAAGGAACUAGGCAAAAUAGCACCGUAACUUCGGGAGAAGGUGCGCCGGCGUAGAUUGUAGUGACUUGCUCACGAAGGUUGAACCGGUCGAAGAUACCAGCUGGCUGCAACUGUUUAUUAAAAACACAGCACUCUGCAAACACGAAAGUGGACGUAUAGGGUGUGAUGCCUGCCCGGUGCUGGAAGGUUAAUUGAUGGUGUAAUCGAAAGAGAAGCUCCUGAUCGAAGCCCCAGUAAACGGCGGCCGUAACUAUAACGGUCCUAAGGUAGCGAAAUUCCUUGUCGGGUAAGUUCCGACCUGCACGAAUGGCAUAAUGAUGGCCAGGCUGUCUCCACCCGAGACUCAGUGAAAUUGAAAUCGCCGUGAAGAUGCGGUGUACCCGCGGCUAGACGGAAAGACCCCGUGAACCUUUACUAUAGCUUGACACUGAACCUUGAAUUUUGAUGUGUAGGAUAGGUGGGAGACUGUGAAGCGGUAACGCCAGUUAUCGUGGAGUCGUUGUUGAAAUACCACCCUUUAACGUUUGAUGUUCUAACGAAGUGCCUGAAACGGGUACUCGGACAGUGUCUGGUGGGUAGUUUGACUGGGGCGGUCUCCUCCCAAAGUGUAACGGAGGAGCACGAAGGUUUGCUAAUGACGGUCGGACAUCGUCAGGUUAGUGCAAUGGUAUAAGCAAGCUUAACUGCGAGACAGACAAGUCGAGCAGGUGCGAAAGCAGGUCAUAGUGAUCCGGUGGUUCUGAAUGGAAGGGCCAUCGCUCAACGGAUAAAAGGUACUCCGGGGAUAACAGGCUGAUACCGCCCAAGAGUUCAUAUCGACGGCGGUGUUUGGCACCUCGAUGUCGGCUCAUCACAUCCUGGGGCUGAAGUAGGUCCCAAGGGUAUGGCUGUUCGCCAUUUAAAGUGGUACGCGAGCUGGGUUUAGAACGUCGUGAGACAGUUCGGUCCCUAUCUGCCGUGGGCGUUGGAGAAUUGAGAGGGGCUGCUCCUAGUACGAGAGGACCGGAGUGGACGCAUCACUGGUGUACCAGUUGUCUCGCCAGAGGCACAGCUGGGUAGCUAAAUGCGGAAGAGAUAAGUGCUGAAAGCAUCUAAGCACGAAACUUGCCUCAAGAUGAGUUCUCCCAGUCUAUAAGACUGUAAGGGUUGUUUGAGACUAAGACGUAGAUAGGCUGGGUGUGUAAGCGGUGUGAGCCGUUGAGCUAACCAGUACUAAUUGCCCGAGAGGCUUAACUAU